GAGGAGGUUAGAAAGCGGCCAGCGGGGCAGAGAGCACUGGAAUCUUUCGGGUCCUUUUCAGCAGAGAAGCGACAUCAUCAGAUUUAGGUUUCAGGAGGAUGUCACUGUCUCUACAAGGAGAAUGAAUUAAAGGCUCCAGGGUGGAGCCAGGAGACGUGGGGAGACCCUCGCAGAGGCCUCCACCUGGUGGUAGCGGGAAGGGGGCUGCAGUGAAGUGGCUGCCCACCCCCAUCCCAGUGGUGAGCGCCCCGUCACUGGAGGAGUGCAAACCCCUGCCGCCCCCAUGGCCCCUCGUGGUCGCCGCUCCCUGGGGCUGCUGCCCAGUAAGUGCUUCACGUGUGCCGGGUCAGGUCAGUGCACCCUCCCGGAGCCCCAGGAGGCGCGACACGGACGCAGAGGCUCAGAGCCCAGGUGCACAGAGAACCCUCUGACGGGAGCAGCCUCGGAGACAGUGCUGCUUUAGUCUUGUUUGAAAACGGAUUCCCUGGUUCCUGCGAGGCCUUCCCGUCGCCCCUGCCCCACGGGAGCCGUCUGUUUGUGUCCCGUCCUUUGGUUGGAUCCCGGAUGCCAGGGGCUCUGAGUUCUUGGUUGUUUUGAGAAUAUUUUUAAAACGCCCUCCAGUGUCUUCUCUGGCCUCCACCCUCCCCAGCCUGUCUUUGCCAGCCCUCGCCCAGCUGUCGGGCCUUUUCAGGUCCGUUUUCUCGGACCCCUCUGUUGACGCCAGCACCCUCGCUCAGCUGGUUGCUGUGGGGGCCUGUUUUCCUCCGCGGCGCUCGCCACCAGCUGACCUGGGAGACGGUUUCCUGCGCUCGCCGCUUGCGCCCCCCAGCCCAUCCCACCAUGUCCUGUGGGGCUCGGGUCUGGGCGCGUUGCUCGUCGCCUCAUCCCCGGCCUAGGACUAGGACGGCGCCGGAAAGACGACGGGCGCAAUGAGCAUUUCCUAACGUGGAUUCUAAGCUAUGGUGUGUAUUGUCCCGGAUGUGUGGAACUUUGACAUUUCCUUGUUUCCUGAGGCCGUUCUUUCUCUGGCGUGUGUGCUGCGUCUGACUGUUGCUCACAUUUCUUG